GGCGAGUGGCGAACGGGUGAGUAAUAUAUCGGAACGUACCCUGGAGUGGGGGAUAACGUAGCGAAAGUUACGCUAAUACCGCAUACGAUCUAAGGAUGAAAGUGGGGGAUCGCAAGACCUCAUGCUCCUGGAGCGGCCGAUAUCUGAUUAGCUAGUUGGUAGGGUAAAAGCCUACCAAGGCAUCGAUCAGUAGCUGGUCUGAGAGGACGACCAGCCACACUGGAACUGAGACACGGUCCAGACUCCUACGGGAGGCAGCAGUGGGGAAUUUUGGACAAUGGGCGCAAGCCUGAUCCAGCAAUGCCGCGUGAGUGAAGAAGGCCUUCGGGUUGUAAAGCUCUUUUGUCAGGGAAGAAACGGUGAAGGCUAAUAUCCUUUGCUAAUGACGGUACCUGAAGAAUAAGCGCGGGCGAGCUACGUGCCAGCAGCCGCGGUAAUACGUAGGGUGCAAGCGUUAAUCGGAAUUACUGGGCGUAAAGCGUGCGCAGGCGGUUUUGUAAGUUUGUCGUGAAAUCCCCGGGCUCAACCUGGGGAAUGGCGAUGAAGACUGCAAGGCUAGAAUCUGGCAGAGGGGGGUAGAAUUCCACGUGUAGCAGUGAAAUGCGUAGAGAUGUGGAGGAACACCGAUGGCGAAGGCAGCCCCCUGGGUCAAGAUUGACGCUCAUGCACGAAAGCGUGGGGAGCAAACAGGAUUAGAUACCCUGGUAGUCCACGCCCUAAACGAUGUCUACUAGUUGUCGGGUUUUAAUUAACUUGGUAACGCAGCUAACGCGUGAAGUAGACCGCCUGGGGAGUACGGUCGCAAGAUUAAAACUCAAAUGAAUUGACGGGGACCCGCACMAGCGGUGGGAUGAUGUGGAUUAAUUCGAUGCAACGCGAAAAACCUUACCUACCCUUGACAUGGACGGAAGCSCGGAGAGAUUUGGGCGUGCUCGAAAGAGAGCCGUCACACAGGUGCUGCAUGGCUGUCGUCAGCUCGUGUCGUGAGAUGUUGGGUUAAGUCCCGCAACGAGCGCAACCCUUGUCAUUAGUUGCUACGAAAGAGCACUCUAAUGAGACUGCCGGUGACAAACCGGAGGAAGGUGGGGAUGACGUCAAGUCCUCAUGGCCCUUAUGGGUAGGGCUUCACACGUCAUACAAUGGUACAUACAGAGGGCCGCCAACCCGCGAGGGGGAGCUAAUCCCAGAAAGUGUAUCGUAGUCCGGAUUGUAGUCUGCAACUCGACUACAUGAAGUUGGAAUCGCUAGUAAUCGCGGAUCAGCAUGUCGCGGUGAAUACGUUCCCGGGUCUUGUACACACCGCCCGUCACACCAUGGGAGCGGGUUUUACCAGAAGUAGGUAGCUUAACCGCAAGGAGGGCGCUUACCACGGUAGGAUUCGUGACUGGGGUGAAGUCGUAACAAGGU
rnacentral:rRNA from 1 species